AUGAUGUUAUUUUAAACAUUAAAUAUAGGACCAUCUGAAUGUACUUAUGUAUGAGGAGCUUGUGAAAUAGAUAAGUAGUUCUGAGAAAAAGACUGUGCUAACGGACACAUAUUACAAUGCAGUAAACAAACCUUGAAAUUUAAUGAAGCAGUACUUGUAAACUGGAAGGACAGCAUAAGUUGUACAAGCUAUACAGAACAGAAGAGCAUAAAGAGGCAAUUUUAGCUGGCCACUAGUCAGCUAUGAAAAGUGUGCUGAUUCAUUUUUUUAAGUGAGCACACAAAAAAACCAGAACAAACAAAUGUAAAUGUGCAGUUGCUGCUAACUACCAAGGCAGAAGAAAAUAAGAACAAAAUGUUCUCAAACCAGCAAAUGCCACAAAAUGCCAAGUUUAGGGAGGAGCGUAAGCUUGAUUCUGCCGACAGAGGACAUAGAGCAAAUUGCUGAAUUCAUGAGUGUAUUUAAGAAGUAGAAGAAAGAAAAGAGAAAAGGCAGCGUUAUGAAACUGUCAGACUUGAAAGCAAUGAAAUGAGAGCAGAGGAUGAAAUUUUCCCAGUAACUCUCUUGCUUUCCAGUGGAGAUGGGACCUUGGCCUUCUGUGAAUAAAAUGUAGAAACUCCUGUCUUCACUGAAGCUUAAAACAACAGCAGCAACAAAUGAAGGUAAACAGGAGAACAGAAAAUGAGGAGAAGAAAUAAAACUAAAAAUUCCCUCAGCUGCUGGACUUUGGCUUUAUGUUGUUGGGCUAAGGACUCUGGGACUUUUAUAUGUCAUGAAGAAAGAUACACAGGAAGUCUCUGGUGAAAAGAAAGAAAGAAACAAAAAAGAAAAAAAAAAGAAAAAAGAAAAUUGCCUGCUUGAACAGAGGCUGGAUUUUGCUUUGAUGAAGCCGCAAAGAAUUUGAGCACAUAUGAAGAAUGUCUUAUGAAAGUUUUUAGAACCCAAGACACACUUCAUCCCAUUUGGCACAUUAGCCACAGUGCAUCAAGCACCUUCAGUUUAUGUCUCUGACAACUCUCAAGUGCCUUCUGUUCAAUUGUCUCCCUCAGCCUGGGCAGUCAUCAUUAUUUUGGGACAUCUUUAAGUGGAGGAAGAUGAGAUGAGGAAGGCAGAAGGACAAAACUAUUACAGCUUAUAUUAUGCUACUGACAAUUAUUUUAAAGUGAUGGAAAAUGAAAGAGGAAGCAGGAGGCUGAGUGAAAGCAAAUGCAGAGUCCAUCAUCAAAUAAAGGAGCAAGAUUGAUGCUAGUGAAUGCUGUGGCUGUCUCAGAUGGCAUGCAGGCUACCAGCUGAACUGUUAGCUGUGAUAUAAAUACUUCAAUUUUUUUUUUUUUUUAAAUAUUCAUGGUAACUUCUUGAAAACAUUUUUAUCAUUUCUUGAAUCACACUUUAUGAACUCUAAAGUCACAGUAAUGUGCUCCUAGGACAGGAAUUGUUUAGAGUCAGAAGUAGGGCUGGUAGAUAUUUUUUGCUUGAAAACAAUUUUUUAAAUGAAAAAUAGCCUCUUUGGUGAAGCCCUCUGUAUUUAAUGAAAAACAGAAAGCAAAUAUGUUCUUUGACUCUAAGUUAAAAGUAAAUAACAUCCCAUGGCAGUUUGAGCUCCACGUGAAGGGGGAAAUCAAAGAGUGGGAAAGCGCACACACUCCCUAGAGCUUCUUUCAUUCAGAACCUGUCAUUUCCUCUUUGGGGUGCUUGAAUAGAGAGGAAAAUAACAGUUACAGGAGGAAGACUACAGCUGUUGAAUGUCUUAUCAGAGAACAUCAGCUAAGGGCUGAGCUAGUUUCUUGAGAUCCAGAGUAUAUGGCCUACUUGUUUGAAAGACUUACCCAUAACAUGAUACCUUCUAGGUACUUUUCAUUGUAGUGUUAUUCAUAGUCUUCCAGUGAUUAUGGAAUAUUUAUGGUCUGAUGUGUGUUCCCAAACACCGUGAACUGUGGCCGGGCAUUUUUCAGUCUAAACAUAAUUACCUUCAGGUUGUCAUCAUUUCUGGAUGUGCUUAGUCUCUAUUUAGAACUAGUAUUAAGCUGGAUUCCUCUCUUUAAGUAUUUGUGUAGUAAAUAGUUUUGGAGUCCUAUGUCAUUGAACAUCUCUGCUUAAACAUAUGUGAACUCUCAAGGACUAAAUUUAAACCCCAACAUCAUGUUUUGCAGGUGUUGUCAGCCUUGUGUUGGAAAAGGGAAUUUGUUUAUUGACUAACUUGGUGCUUCAUUUCUUAAGCACAUGGCAUAAGAGAGGCUAAUGUCUUCAUGAAUACUUGGACACAGGACUUGAGAGAAUACUAAGUAAGUUCACUGAUGACACUAAAUUGCAAGGUGCUGUUGACACUCUCAAGUGCAGAGAGGCCCUGCAGAAGGAUCUGGACCAAUUGCAGAAAUGGGCUAUCACCAGCUGCAUGAAGUUCAACAAUGACAAGUGCUGAAUUUUGCAUCUGAGACAUAGCAGCCGUGGCUGUACAUACAGACUGGGGGAUGAGAUGAUGGAAAGCACCUCCACGGAGAGGGAUCUGGGGGUUCUGGUUGACAGCAAGUUGAACAUGGGCCAACAGUAUGCCCUGGCAGCCAAGAGGGCCAACCAUGUCCUGGGUGCAUCAAGCACAGCAUUGCCAGCUGGACCAGGGAGGUGAUUGUCCUGCUCUGUUCUGCACUGGUGUGGCCUCACCUGGAGCACCGUGUGCAGUUCAGGGUGCCACACUAUAAAAAUAUAUAUAAAGCUACUGGAGAGUGUCCAGAAGAGGGCUACAAAGUUGGUGAAGGGUUUGGAGAGGAAGCGAUAUGAGGAGUGGAUAAAGUCACUUGGUUUGUUCAGCCUGGAGGAGACUGAGGGGAAACGUCAGGGUGGCUACAAGGGGAGGUAAAAGGUCAGGCACUGAUCUCUCCUCUCUGGUGACCAAUGACAGAACCUGAGGGAAUGACAGGAAGGUGUGACAGGAGAGGUUUAGGUUGGACAUUAGGAAAAGGUUCUUCCCCCAGAGGGUGGUGCAGCACUGGAACAGGCUCCCCAGGGAGGUGUCACAGCCCCAAGCCUGACAGUGUUCAAGAAGAGACUGGACAACGCCCUCAGGCACAUGGUGUGAACUGUGGGAUUGUCCUGGGCAGGGACAGGAGCUGGAUUCAAUGAUCCUUGUGGGUCUCUUCCAACUCAGGACAUUCUAUGAUUCUAUGACAUUCUAUAAUACUGUGACUGAUUGCAUUUCACUGGUGUAUUCUUAUGAGCUGAUGUCUUAAUUACAUUGCUUGUCAGGGUCAAGAGUUACAGACAGUCCACAGAGGCACAGAUACACUGAACAGAACCUCUGGUGACUUGGGGUUUUCUUAUGGGAAGCUUAUCCCAGAUAGAGGUCCCUCUUUAGAAGAGCAAUGAACAGAGGUGAUGGAUCACCUGGGAACUUAGCUGGCAGCUCUGAUAGAUGUGAAACUGUCCUGUCAGAAGUGUCAAAGAAGGGAGCAUCACACAGAUCCUGAAAUGGAGCUAAAUGACUAGGUGUCUCCCAAUGGACUUAAUUUCCUCAUGCUUGUUCCUGAAAUUCUUCCCUAAUGGUGCAUCAUGUUGGAAUAAACAUCAUGCUUCUCCCUUAAAUCUGAUCUGGUCAGGCAACACUGGGAAGCCUCUGCAUGAAGGAGCAGUGAUCAUAAGGAGCAUGUGCUCCCUCAGAGUCUGUCCUGCACCCACUGCAGGUAUAGGAGUCCUCACUGUUCUGCAGGACCGUCCUCCACUAAAUUGCAAGGAACUGGACAUGCUGUGUUUGGGAAGGGAAGUCUCCCUUGGCGAGCACACCUCUGAUGUCCAAGGUCAUUUCAUCUGCACCAAGGUGAGUGUUAGCCAGUGGAGACAGGGCCUUACAAUGGAUAUGCUAACACACAUCUCUGCUUGUGCUCCAUGAUGGGUUUAGUUCAAUGUGGCUUGAGGAUCAUGCUAUUUAUUUUUUAUUUACUUUUAUUUAUGUUGACAUUUUGAAAAAAAAAAACAUUUUGUUGAUUUAUAAUUUUUCGGAAGAUAAAUUCUUAGAUACUUUUUAGCCUAGAAUAUCCCUCCUGGUAAAUGAAAAUAUAAAGUAACAUUUACAUACAACUGUGUUUUUUGCUAUUUUUCAUCACCAUUCUUUAAUAGUUCUUUCUCUAACUUUUUUAUCUGAGUUUUAGAGCUCUACCAAGAAUCAGUGCAGCGCUGAAGAGUCAAGGAUACUGCAGAACCUCAGCCUGUUUGAAGUGUAGAUAUGUCCCCAGCCUCAAAUAGAAGAAGAAACAGCUGCAACUAAAUGACAAAGCUUACUCUUAUCAGUCGAGUGGGGUUGAUUAUUAAAGCUGGGGCUUCAGGAUUUUUUUUUUUGGUUCAAAGCCUCUCUUUAAUUUGCCCGUCACCAUCUGAAUUUUCACCUAUGGGACUCAUGUUUUCAAGUUGAACCACUGGUUUUUUAAAAAGUGUAAGCAAAAGUGAUGUAGCAAUUCAUGAGCAUGAGGAAAAAUGCAAAAACUGUUCCUUCUGACUCCAUAGAGAGGGACAGAAGUGCUCUAGUGAUAAACCAGCUGCAGACAGGAACUUCAAAUUAGGCAGAAAAAGCUUCUUCACUAAAGACAAAUGUUUCUGAGCAUUCUGAUGAAAACUGAUUUACUUUUGUCUGAAUAACAAGAACUCAGAAAUCACACUUGGUCUAGGCUCAGUUCAUUUUAGAAAGCUCUUGUGGUACUUAUAAUAACACACCCACUGGAGCCUUUACUGUGUUCAUUGUGUUUCUUGUAUAUAAAUUAUUUUCAUGAACUGUUUGUCUGGCAUACGCAGUAGUGGAAGGCACUGUACAUAUGUAUUUGAAGUAGUGGAAAUGGUAUGGCAGAAGUAGGCAGAUUUCAUUGGUGCUGUGGUGUUAUGAUUGCUGUUUAAAUAAUUGCCUUGGCAUUCUUGAGGAUCAAAAUGCUACAGAAAUACAAGUUAUAAUGUAGUUAUAUAAAAUUAGAGCAGCAGUAAAAAUGAGAGUGGGCUAGCGGUGGGAGAGGAUACAUGAGAAAACAAUUCCUAAACUGAAGUGUGGAUUAAAGGUUCAUUUAAGCAGGUUGCUAUGUAACUCUGGACUGACCACAAGCGUGUUAAGGCAGCAUUCAGCUCCUCUGUAAAACAUUUGCUGGUCCACAGGAAGAGUUUGUUGCAUUAAGUAAUUUAUGGGGUGCUAAGAAGUUCCUUAAGCUAUUAUUAAAAACAUACAAAAUCUUCUCUGGUUAGGACUCUAGUAACUCAGACUUCUAACUAAGCAGAACUGAUAGGGCAGGCCUUUUGAUGUUUAAUGAGUUCUGAAGCAGAUGUGAGAUGUGAUAGACAGGGGAGCCAGGGUGAUUUAGUGCUCAUGGAACAAAAUGAUGAGAUCCCCUCUUGAAAAAGAAAAUGUAGCUAAAAAAGACAAGGUUUUUUUUCUUCCCCCCCCCCCCCCCUCUUUUUUUCCUUUCUUCCAUCUUGAUGCAUGUGUUUUUGAUUUCCUCACCCCGUGCCUCUCAGUGCUGGCUCGUUUCCAUUCAAACACACACAGAACACUGAAAACUAAUUAGUCCUGGAUGCAGCCACAGGAAGUUAGCCUGCCAAGUUCCCUUUCCCCCACAAUUCCUCAACAUUCUCAGCUUGCCUCAGGCCAAGGGCCUUGCACUGGGCCUCUCUGUGUAGGUUGCCAGGUCUAAUUUUACAAUUUCCCUUCACCUUAUCAAGUGUGCCCCAGGCCCAACAAGAGGGAAAGGAUCAGAGCCAACGUUGUGUUGUGGGCCUUUCUCCCCCACACCCAGUCCCCACCCACCUCUUCUCUUUUCUGCAUCAAUUUUGGAAGUCUUGGUCAUAUCUAGUUUCAGUGUUGACUUGUUAAUCUGACCUUUGCUAAUGCUUUUUAAAGGAACCAAAGAGAACUUCACCAUCUUGUAAAACUUGAAAGUCCCUCCUCUCCAAGACUUUUCUUGAAGGUUAACAAAUUUUCCCGAGAGCCAGAGGACUACAGGUGUCAACCAUUUUCAGGCAUCUCAUUUCAAAGCAGAGCCCACCACAAUCCCAAUGCGAGAAGCCAGAGUCUGAUUAGAAGCAAGCAGUGGGCUGGGUGCCAGCCUACAGUGGGCAGAGUCAUGGCACGUGCAACUCAACCAGAAAACACAAGCAUGGCUGCAAAGUUAUGAAGGUCUAGAAUCAUAUUGGGGUUUUCUUCUUGAUUCUUAUGCUCAGUUGCUGUGCAACACUUAGAAAAAUUCACUUCAGCUCUUUUGACCUCCCUUUCUAGGCUGAUGAUAACAGGACAGUACUACAGAGUACUUCGAAAUUUGUGGAUGAAAAGCACUAAAAUACAUGACAGCUAUCACCAAAUCUCAGCAGAAAGGAGUGAAGAAGGUAAAACAUUGGGCAACUGAACUCACCUCUUUUGUCUGUGGUAUGGAUAAAUGGAAACUGAUGGCCUCGUUGGACUGUUGCCCAUCCAGUCCAUUGUCCAGAUCCCAUGUCAUCUAGAACAAAGUCUACAGAGAAAGACUUGAGGAUCCUGUGAUACAAAGGGUGAGGAAACACAAGAGGCUAAUUUGACCUUGUAAUCUAGUGCCCUUCAGAGCUCCAGGAGUUUGAAAAUGGCAUAAGUGCUCAAGUACAAAAUGUUUGCCAUUGCUACCUGUGACAACUAUGGAUUUUCUUGAAGACACAUAAAUAUCCAGUCCUUUUUAUUACUGUUAGGUUUUGAGCUGUGCCAUUUUCGCAAAGCAAUGAGUUCCACAGUGUAAUUCCAUGUUCUGUGAAUAUUGUUCUUUUUCCAUGGGUGUGCUCUGUGAAUAUCUGGAGAAACUCAUGCUACAUCUGCUGUUGCUGCACCUGCCCUGUAGACAGAGAACUCCAGCAUGCACAGCUGGGACAGGGGGUUGUCUGGGAACCAGCUCUAAAUGAACUCAGUAUGAAAAUAACCUGAAGGAAAAUAUUAAGUACAGUACUAGGAAGGGCUGCUGUAGGGAAGGAAUAAGAUCCUAUUCUUGUUUUAUUCGCUCUGAUGCAAGUCUUGAGAAGAAUUUGUAAUGAAGUUACAUUUUAAACACAUUUACCAUCUUGCCUUUGAUUUCCAUACAUGUUCUUCCUGUAGGGCAGGCGGUGGCACCUGAUGUACCAUAUGCAGAACCAUGACUGCUGCCAGUCUCUUUUCACAGCCUGUGAAAUGCCCAUUAUGGUGUUUUAUUUAACAUUUCAUAUACGUUAGUCAGAGACAACCAAGUUGUGGAGAAGUGACUUCACUGUGAAAGCACACUGUUCUGGAGCAGAGAUCAAAUGGAAACACAGAAGUGUGAUGUUCUAGACUUCAUUUUGGAGCAUUCUUAAAUGUGUGGUAUGUCACAUGUGAGUAGUCCAUUAAGAUAAAAGGGUCUACUCUGGUGACUGCUGUAAUGCUAUAUUCAGGUAGCUUACUGAACUCAGACAACCUAGGUAAUUUUUAGGGAAAAGAAAUCCCAAAACAUAUUUUCUGUGGAUACAAUCCUAUUAAUCUGAUUUUAGAGACAUCAGGGGCAUUUGUAGCAUAAGGUCUGUUGGGCAGAGUCUGUUUUUUGCUCUGCAUCUGGACUUGGCACUAGUGGCCCUCAGUCUGUUUGGACUGUCCCUAUUACAACUCUAACAAAAGUAAAUUUGGCAGGAUGGCAGAAUUAGCAGCCCACUAGUUGACCUAUAUUCUCUCACUCUGGCUCCAAGUUUUAAGAUUUCUCAGAGUACAUGCAAGAAAAUAGCCUCUUAGUUUUUUUGAUCUUUGCCCAAGUGUCAGGACUCUAGUCCAAGAUUAUCACAUCACUGUUGGUUCCUCUGAAGAAAUCUGUGAGUCCCAGUGAGAACAGCAGGACAUGUGCAUCUUAAAAUAACAAAAUAAAGACCAAAGCAGGUUUUAUGCAGGUUUUAUUUCCUUUAGAAGGACCAGAACAAUGCAGAAAAUUGAGUGUUUGAUAAAAAUUAUUUCUGACUCUUGUUUUGAAGUUUCCUGAGAGGUAUUACGAGAUGUAAUGACCUACAAUUCCGAACAACAGCACGCAUGUAUUAUGUCUGUUUCCUGAGAGUGCAUGCCUCCAGUUCAGCUCAUUUUUCAGAACUCUUCUCUUGUCCUGAAGAGCAGAAGGAGUAAAACAACAGUCUAACAUAAGAAGAUGGCUUCCUUACAUAUCUGUGAAGUCAAAGAUCUUACAUUUUACUGGAGUCCUAGCAAAAUGAGGCUGUGUGGCUGGUCUUAGAGGUAUGACAUGUAUCUGAUUGCAAGUAGAGGUAGCUAAAAAAUUUCCAUCCAAACUUUACUUGGGAAAAAAAAAAAAAAAAGGACACUUUUUACUGAAAAUGGAAGACUUAUCAAAACAAUCUUCUUUCAUUCAACUUGUUCACGUAUUCUACUCAAAACCUAGCCUGAAAAUUUAAGAGUACCAUUUCUGAGUACUUCAGGUGCAGGAUUCGUCAGCUUUUGUCAGUUGUUAAAAAAUGUGUGCUUGUUUUACUUUUAUUUUCUCAGUUCUAGGCUUUUAAAAAGGAAAUGUUAAAAACAUUGUGGACACCCUUUUCUUUUCCAGCACAGACUUACUGAGGCAGGGCUGAGACAGCAGCAGCUCUGACUUCACACUCCAAGUCACUGGAUGCAUCUGCUGCUUCUUGGUUAUUCAAAAUCUCUGCAUCAUGGUCGGAUAAACUCAGAUCUGUAAAAUGUGGCUCGUCUUUCUGUACCUACAGUUUGUAGGUACUGUCUUCUAUCCAGACUCCUGGAAGAGCACAGAAUACUAUUCUGGCACCCCAUCUGUCUUGUAAGAGGAUAUAAUUUGGUAUCUACAUGGCUCAGUCCUCACUUGGCUAAUCUUUGGGUCCCUGGAUUCUGCUUCACUUAGAACACCACCUUUGUUUUCUAUGUUUGCUCCUUAAAUACCUAAUUAUACCUUUAAGAAAGUAGCCUGAUCACAGUAACAAGUGUGGCAUGGUCUUUGGUGGAGAGGGAAAUAAAUAAGCCAGAAUUCAGAAGAUCCUGUUCAAAAUCACGGUAUAAUAGCAAGAAAGAGGGUCUCAUGUGAGGCUUGUCUGACAUGAUAAAAUGAUAAAUUUAGCUUUGUCCCAUCAAGUUUCUCCUGUAGAAAUUUUCACACUUCUAAAGUCAUUAUUACAGAAGUCCCAGUCUGUCCAUUUUUUAUAAUUCUGUGAGGGGUAAAUACAAAUGUAGCCAUUGGUGAUGGCUGACCCUGAUGAACAGCUUCAACUGAUGGCACAUGGUUGUGCUUGAGGAGAUAGGAUUGCCAGAUCUGAGUGCCUUAACAGAAGGAUCAAAUUUUAAAAUGUGUGAGGAGCUGUUGAUUGUAUCAACAAUAAUCUUCCUCCUGUUAAAUAGGCCUGAAUAUACAAGAUCUCAAUUAUCUUUCUGCAUGGUCUUGCAAAUUGGCCCAGGUUCUUUUAGGAUCCUCCUUGUCUGAUACAGAAGAUGAUGAUCUAUGAAGUCCUUUAUCUGGAAACAGACUUACCAGAAUAAAAUUUCUGUUAUAUUUUACAGUGCAAAACCAGUGCAUGGGAAUGGUCAAGAUCAGGGCUCCAACCCUGAUGCAACACCCUCAUCUGCUGCUGUUGUGUUCUUGGAAGAUAAAAGGAGUGAAACAAAACUCAGUCAAAAGUUCGACUGUGACCCCCAAUGUUUUCUCCCUCACCUUUGGUGAUGUCUUCAGGCUGUCACCCUCAGAGAGUAGUUGCAGGAUAUUAUUUAGGCAUUAAUAACUAGCAGCCUUCUCAACUUUUCCUUUGUGUUCCUUACCCUGGUCUUUUUCUCCGCUCUGUUUCUGUGCCAUCUCUCUUUCAUGUUUCCUCAGGCUUUGAUCUGCAUUUCUCUUUAUAUGCACACUGCUCCUCUAAUACAGGGCAAGGCAAAAUUCAUAUUCCCCAAACAGAUCAAGCCCCCAAAAUCAAAUCAAGCAAAUGAGAUAAUAAUGAGCUUAAAACAAUUCCAAAUUUUACUGUAGUUGUAUGUAUUUUCUUUCUUUCCUUUUUUUUGUUUUUUUUUUCUUUUUUUCAUUACCCUCUUGUUUUGUUAAUAUGUUAGAGCCAGUUGAAAAGUGUUGAAUUUCAUUUGAUUUGGGCAUUUACCCUGGGAAAAUUUGGAUUGUUUCAGUUAAAAAAGUCUCCAGAAAUUAACACUUGCAGUGUAAAGGUACUCAUUUGCAUGGUUUACUUGACACCUUCCUUCCCCUAGUUGUCAGACUUUUGUCUCAUGCAGCAUCUCUGUCACCAUCAGUCCCUUCCUGGUGCACCAUUGUGGCAGAGCACUGAGAAGUUAUCUAGAACACCAUGCUAGAGAGACACAGAGGCAUGAGUCACACAAACAACAACUCUUCCUAGAAAUUUCUCAAUAGAAAUGUCAUUAAUGCUGCUGGUAUUGCUGUGCAGUACUGGUUAUGUGGUUGUGCAAUGUCAGCUCUUCUGAUAUGUUUUCCCUCUGUUUGGAUUACCAGAAGGCAAAGAUGAUGGGCAUCUCUAUGGUGAAGAACUUUUGAGGCGUGACACUGAAUUUCUAUUUGGUAUGUUUUGAAAAGGGCAAAUGAUUCUGAUACCUGAUAUCAUUUGGGCAUUUUACACAGAUGAAUACUUGACACAUUUCUGGUACUUAUCAGUCACAAACAAACAGUUACAUGGAGCGGAAUGUGGCAGGUGGGAACUAGUGAGAGAUAAAUAUUUAAGUUUCUAUAUGAAAAGCAAAUAAAUAAUAUAUAUUGGGAAAGUGAUAUCACAAGAUUAUUUACCCCUACUCUGUCAGUGGAAAACAAGAGACUUCUCUAGUGCAGCUGACAUCCUGAGAAAGUCUCUGAUGCCACUGUCAUCUUUGGUUCCCAUUUCUGAGAAGCUAUCUGUGUCUUUAUGAAAUAUAUCCAUGCAUAUAAACAUAGCUUUUUAUUUUUGAAACACAUGAAAUAAUUUAAUACAAACUAGAAAAUAACUUCCAAAUGCCCUCUGUUGCCUGCACUCUUCUGAGAACAUAUGGGUAAGAUAGCACAUACUUUUCUUACAAAGAAAAUGAAAAUGUCAUUGUUUUCCCCAAAAGAAUUUGAAAAAUUGAUUUUGAAAAAAUGCGUUGUUGCUAUCAACCCCUCCCAUAUCAAUACAUCAUACAAGAAACCAGUCAUCCCUGCAGAAACAUUUAUUGGUUUCCAUCAUGUUGCAUCGUUUAAAAGAUGAGACAGCACGCUCUGUGGAGUACAGAACUUCCUCUCCUCUCUACUUUAAUUGCAUUUCUGUUCUCAGCAUUACAUAAUUUUAAAGGCAUGUUAUAAAUAUUGUUCUUCGUCAUAGAUCAUGUCUGUAAUUUAUACAGUAUUUUCACUUUGACAUAGUCUCCUAAAGAAAAAGCAAAACAUGGGAAAUUAAAAUAAAAGAAGCCAACCUGCCCAUUUGAAAGACAUUUUGCUUUUAUUUAGCAGAAGACAAUUUGAUGUGUUUUGCAUAGCAAGAUUAUUCUACAAAGUCAGUUUGGAAAGGUUUGUUUAAAAACCCUGAAAUUUUUUAAAGUCAGAAAGCUUGUUUACAGAAAUGUUCUCCCAUGUCUAUGGUUUUGUGUUAUUCUUUUUGUUGUAUUAUUUUAAAUUCAAAAUGUAAUCAUGGCUCUCCCAGAGUGAAGUAACCAGAUUAACUAAUAAUGAGGAAGACCAUGCUGAGAACACAGGUAAAUCUGAGAACAACCAUCUUAAUUCCAUGAGUUUUACAUACAAGAAAGAGCAGUGCUACAGGUACAGAAUUUUGCUCUUUUCUCAGUUUUUUUUCCAGCAAGUUAAAAGUUCAGCUCUUAUGACAGAAAACAGGGUCACAAUCCCAACACAUAUUACUCCUUGUUACGAAAUUGACAUUAUUGAUAGGGAGUUUUUUGCUCAGUUAGCAACCUUGCAAUCUAGCCUACAUUUAUUUUUCCAUCGUUUUUGCUCAUGAAAUGAUAAUUUUGCAAACUGUCACCUGUAUAAUUCAGUGUAUAAAUAUAGUAACGUUUGUCUUACAAUUGAAUCUCUUUGAGUCUUAUGUGGCUGAUCCAAAACUGACCUUCAUUUUGAAUUUUAGUAAUGAACAGAAAUAAAUAUUUAAGUAAUAUGUUUUUGUAAAAUAGCCUUAACAUUAGCAUAUCAAAUGCUUGGGGCAUCUACCUUCCUGCAGAGUGGAAGUUCUGAAAGGCUUUACCCAGAAAGGUAGGGUUUGGGGUAUUUUUACAUCUUCACCUGAAACACAACAUUUCUACAUCCCUGAAUUAUGUUUUCUUCUGAUUUUUGAACCAUAUUUCAUUAUUAAUGUAAUUGUGUGUAUUGCAUUACAGGCUCUGUAGUUCAAGUUUCCAUUCUCUCUUGGGGGCUGGAUUCUUUAGCUGGACAUCUUUCCGGUGAUGUCCCCAAAAUCUAGUGAUACCCAGAAUAAACUUUCUCAGGAAAAGAGCAGUAUGGGAGGUGCAUAGGGAAGAGGGAAGGAUUUCAUCUGAUGGCUUCAGUAAUAUACAAAACAUGAGAAAGCAAUGACAGCUUUUGCUGAUGGCACAGAGCUGAGGACAUCCUCAGUACAGAAAAGGUCAUGGUUCACACAGGAAAAAGCAGAUGGCCAUGAAUAUUGGUGCACAGAAAGGUGAAGGCAAGGUUGUUCAGAAUAAGACAAGAAUUACUGAAUCACAGAAUGAUUGGUAAUGGAAGGGACCUCUGGACAUCAUCUAGUCCAACCCACCUGACAAAGCAGGUUCACCCAGAGCAGAUCACACAGGAAUGUGUCCAGGCGGGUUUUGAAUGUCUCCAGAGAAGGAGACUCCACAACCUCUCUGGGCAGCCUGUUCCAGUACUAUGACACCCUCAAAGUAAAGAAGUUUCUCCUUAUAUUCAGAUGGAACCUCCUGUGCUUCAGUCUGUGCCCAUUGCCCCUCAUCCUAUCAUUGGGCACCACAGAAAGGAGUCUGGUCCCAUCCACUUGACACCCACCCUUGAGAUAUUGAUAAACACUGAUGAGAUCCCCUCU